GUGAAUCAUCAAAUUUUUGAACGCACAUUGCACUCUCUUCGGAGAGUAUGCCUGUUUGUGGGUCAGCCUAAAAAAAAUCGACGUAGUCGCUGUUUCGCGGUGACUUUCGUCGGAAGUUGGGUCUUCUUAAACCUUUGGGUUUUUUAAGCGGCUUAAAUUUUUCUUUACGUUUCCACGAAUGUUUCUAAGGUUUUACUUCUUACCCACGUUUAAGGUAUCGAUCUUUA
rnacentral:misc_RNA from 1 species